GGCAGCAUGCCAGAGUGGUUAGUGGGUGGGACUUGAAUCAGCUGUUGUUCGUCAUCCCAUGGGCCAGGUUCGAACCGCUGCUGUCG